UCUGUCUAGACGAACGCUGGCGGCGUGCCUAAUACAUGCAAGUCGAGCGGACAGAAGGGAGCUUGCUCCCGGAUGUUAGCGGCGGACGGGUGAGUAACACGUGGGUAACCUGCCUGUAAGACUGGGAUAACUCCGGGAAACCGGAGCUAAUACCGGAUAGUUCCUUGAACCGCAUGGUUCAAGGAUGAAAGACGGUUUCGGCUGUCACUUACAGAUGGACCCGCGGCGCAUUAGCUAGUUGGUGGGGUAAUGGCUCACCAAGGCGACGAUGCGUAGCCGACCUGAGAGGGUGAUCGGCCACACUGGGACUGAGACACGGCCCAGACUCCUACGGGAGGCAGCAGUAGGGAAUCUUCCGCAAUGGACGAAAGUCUGACGGAGCAACGCCGCGUGAGUGAUGAAGGUUUUCGGAUCGUAAAGCUCUGUUGUUAGGGAAGAACAAGUGCGAGAGUAACUGCUCGCACCUUGACGGUACCUAACCAGAAAGCCACGGCUAACUACGUGCCAGCAGCCGCGGUAAUACGUAGGUGGCAAGCGUUGUCCGGAAUUAUUGGGCGUAAAGGGCUCGCAGGCGGUUUCUUAAGUCUGAUGUGAAAGCCCCCGGCUCAACCGGGGAGGGUCAUUGGAAACUGGGAAACUUGAGUGCAGAAGAGGAGAGUGGAAUUCCACGUGUAGCGGUGAAAUGCGUAGAGAUGUGGAGGAACACCAGUGGCGAAGGCGACUCUCUGGUCUGUAACUGACGCUGAGGAGCGAAAGCGUGGGGAGCGAACAGGAUUAGAUACCCUGGUAGUCCACGCCGUAAACGAUGAGUGCUAAGUGUUAGGGGGUUUCCGCCCCUUAGUGCUGCAGCUAACGCAUUAAGCACUCCGCCUGGGGAGUACGGUCGCAAGACUGAAACUCAAAGGAAUUGACGGGGGCCCGCACAAGCGGUGGAGCAUGUGGUUUAAUUCGAAGCAACGCGAAGAACCUUACCAGGUCUUGACAUCCUCUGACAACCCUAGAGAUAGGGCUUUCCCUUCGGGGACAGAGUGACAGGUGGUGCAUGGUUGUCGUCAGCUCGUGUCGUGAGAUGUUGGGUUAAGUCCCGCAACGAGCGCAACCCUUGAUCUUAGUUGCCAGCAUUUAGUUGGGCACUCUAAGGUGACUGCCGGUGACAAACCGGAGGAAGGUGGGGAUGACGUCAAAUCAUCAUGCCCCUUAUGACCUGGGCUACACACGUGCUACAAUGGACAGAACAAAGGGCUGCGAGACCGCAAGGUUUAGCCAAUCCCAUAAAUCUGUUCUCAGUUCGGAUCGCAGUCUGCAACUCGACUGCGUGAAGCUGGAAUCGCUAGUAAUCGCGGAUCAGCAUGCCGCGGUGAAUACGUUCCCGGGCCUUGUACACACCGCCCGUCACAUCACGAGAGUUUGCAGCACCCGAAGUCGGUGAGGUAACCUUUAUGGAACCAGCCGUCGAAAGUGGGGCAGAUGAUUGGUGUGAAGUCUAUAUUAAGGAAACCGUAUCCGUGACUGGUAAUACCCUGGCCGUGCGUU
rnacentral:rRNA from 1 species